CUUUUUUUUUUUUUUUUAAUUUUGAGGAGAUUAUUAUGAUUCAAAGAGGAGGGAAGCGAGUCAACAGAAUCAGCCAUAGUAUUUGAAGAAGGUGAUAGUGAGGAGAAAGAGGAGCUGAGUAUUAUAGUUAUAGAAGAAGGUGAUGAUGAUUUGGAAGGAACUGAGAAAGAGUGAAGUGGAGAACGCCUUUGCGUCUGCUUCAAAUCUCUUGGAAGAUUCUGGUAAAGCAGAGGAAAUUGGUUCUGGGAGAACUAUGGUUGUGAUGUUGUGCGUUUCACCGCAGAUGUUGGUCGGGUACUACACUGCAUAAGUGCUAAUUAUUAUAGUUGAGAGAUGAAGUUUUGCGUAGCACUAGACUUAUGUUUUCUCAGCCCACUAAAUCCUUUGAUAUGAAGGGCACAGAAGAGUUGGAUGGUUUGGAACAAAAGGCUAAGGCUAGUGGUGCUUCUCAGUUGGUUCUUAAGGAUCUCACAGAGGAAGAUUACAUAUUCCCUUGUCUUAGAGCUGGUGCUAUCUAUAUGAAAGAUGCUUGGUACAGAACCAGUACCGGUCCUGAAAAUAGCAAAUUAGAAACUAAAGCCUGUCUAUUAAAGGCCAUUUCAAGAAAAGAAAAUUCUUUCAAUGUAAAUGGAGAAGGGAUUUAAGCUUUUCAUUUGGUCUUAGCCUUUUGGUACUGUUUGGUGCAACUUGGGUUGUCUAGUGUCGUACAUGAUUAAUUAUCCUCACCCAAUGGUUUAAGCUUUU